GUAAACACUAAUCCCUAUGGUUUAAAAAAAAUAAAAAUUGAACAGAUUUACAACUGUUUGCAGAAAAAACAGGAUUUAAAUUUACUAGUUGCAUUUUAAAUAUAUCAAAUUAAUUUUAAAAAGUGACAUUAUUUUUUUAUUAGAAAUGGUUGAUUUUUUUUAUAUUUAUUUUACUGGACACAUAGAAAACUGAAGAAAAUAUAGAGAUUCUAUUUUUCAAAUACUUCUAUUAAUAUUAUUUUGUUAUGAGUAAAAUUGAAAACUGAAUUAUUUUGUCUCUCAUCUAACCUCCUUCUUCUUCUAAAUUCUGAUAUUCACUUUUAGUUGAAUCAUCUGGUAUCAGAGCAUCAAUCCUUGGUGCUUGAAUCAAUAUACUCCUGCUCUCUAACAUCCAAACAGCUUACUUUGCUCAUCUAUGGCGGUGGCAGAAAAUACUCGUUUGCAGUAAAUGAAGAAAAUGGAAGAAUCCAUUCAUAGUAUGGUGAAAGGCAUAUGCUUCAAGAAAAUAACCAGAAACAAGAACAAUUAUUCACCGGCAUGAUUGGUAAACUUACGACACUCAUUUCUUCCAUUAACACCCACAACCCAUCACCAACACCUACUGCAUCUUCUUCUCCAUCUCCUAACACCUAUCCCAGCACUCAAUUGAACCCAGCUAAUGAGAAUGCCACCAAUGAUCAAAACCCAGCGCUUGCUAAAAAUGCACACCUAUUUACUUCUUUCUUUAUUGAUCUAGCUAGCCAAACACAUACACCUAAUAAUAACAACUACUAAAUGGCCACACGAUUCACCAAAAUAGAAUUUCUCAAAUUUGAUGGAGAGGAUUUGGAGGGCUGGUUGUUCAAAGUGUGAGCGCUUCUUACAAAUUGAUUUUACACCUUCCAAUGCUAGAGUGAAGUUGGCUGCGAUACACAUGGAAGGAAAGGCAUUGCAGUGGCACCAAACAUUUGUUAAGAAUAGAAGUAGAACUGAAAAACCUCCAUAGGACGAGUAUAUAGAGGCUCUUAAAGGGAGAUUUGGUGAGAAAAUCUAUGAAGACCCAAUGGCUGACCUCGAAGGUUUUAUGCAGACGGGUACCCUCCAAGAAUACUUAGAGGCAUUUGACAGCCUUUCCCACAAGGUCAGUCUGUUAGGGGACUACUCACUAAGUUGCUUUCUGAGUGGGUUAAAAGAUGAUAUCAAAAUUCCUGUACGCAUGUUGGUCCAAAAAGCUUGCAACAAGCUUAUGCUUUAGCUCGUAUGCAAGAAUCGUAUUUGAGAGCUACUAAAUUGCCAAAAACUUGUGCCAACCGACCUCAAAUAACUCCAAACCCUUCUUCAAUCUCUAUCAACACUGGCAAUUUUAGUAAACUCACUCCAUUAAACAUAAAACCUCCAUUACUACCUACUUUAAUCAAUUGCCCAAACAGGCCUCAUCCAAUACUAUCUAAAUCACUCAUGCAUUAACCACCAAAUAUACACUCUCUAGAACUAGAAGGUUAGGAUGAAGAAUUAAAUGAAAAAGGGGCUAAGAACUUGUGUUUUUGGUGUGAUGAGAAGUUUACUCCAGGCCACAAGUGCAAGAAGAGGCAUCUCCAUAUCGUGGUAGUGCAAGAUUACCCAGAAGAGAAAGACCUAUUCAGAUGUCAAUCUGUCAAUCUAAUUACAUGCCAUGGAGGGCUUAACCGGGAAGGCUUAUCAGACUAUGAGAAUAAUUGCUCAAAAUGUCAUUCUCCAUCAAGGGACAGAGGUUCCAUCUUCAAGGAGUGAAUUCAACUUCGAUAAAGCUGAUUUCUGAUAGCAUAAUGACCAAAUUAUUGCAGCAUAACUCAGCAGUAGCUUAUGCAAUAAAAGUUCAGGAGCACUCAAAGGACACUACUCUGGAUGUUGCAGACGCUGUUAUGGUAAAAGAUUCUAAACUCACACAGUUAUUAUUAGAGUUUAAGUGUCUAUUUGAACAACCUAAGGCAUUACCUCCCCACAAAACACAUGACCACAGGAUUCCACUUAUAGGGGUUUCCAAACCUGUGAAUAUAAGACCUUACAAAUACUCACCUCUUCAAAAGACAGUAAUUGAGAACAUGAUUCAGGAACUUUUGCAGAAAGGUAUAAUUCAACCUAGUGUGGGCCCCUUCUCAUCUCUUAUAGUUUUGGUUAAAAAAAAAGAUUAUAGCUGGAGUAUAGAUUAUAGGGAACUCAAUAAACACAUAGUAAAGGAUAGAUUCCAUACACCUGUGAUUGAGGAACUACUGGAUGAACUUCAUGGGGUUGUUGUGUUCUCCAAAAUAGACCUUAGAUCAGGCUAUCAUCAUAUCAGAAUGUACCCCGAAAGAUAUUCACAAAACAACCUUUAAGUCACAUAUGAAGGUCAUUAUGAAUUUGUGGUGAUGCCCUUUGGUCUUACGAAUGCUCCCUCUACCUUUCAAAGCCUAAUGAAUGAAACUUUCAGACCCUUACUCAGAAGAUUUGUGCUGUUAUUUUUUAAUGACAUACUCAUCUACAACAAGGAUAUGCAGGCUCACUUGGAGCAUUUGAGGGUUGUUUUUCAGAAACUACAGGAACAUCAACUCUUUGCUAAGAUGAGCAUUUGGGGUAUCUACUGUGGAAGCUGUAGCAAAUUGGCCUACACCUAAGAACUUGAAGCAAUUAAGAGGAUUUUUAGGAUUAUCUGGGUAUUACAGGAGGUUUAUAAGAGGUUAUGGGGUGGUAAGCAAGCCUCUGACAGAAUUAUUAAAGGACAGCUUUGUUUGGAGCCCUGUAGCAGAAUCAACCUUUUUAUCAUUGAAGGAUGCCUUAACUGCAGCUCUUGUAUUGGCUUUACCUUCACAAGAUGAGGUCUUUGUUAGUGUGACAGAUUCAUGUGACAUGGGCAUAGAGGCGGUCCUUAUGCAAGAGUCUCACCCUAUAGCUUAUAUCAACAAGGCACUAGCACCUAGACACUUGUCACUUUCUGAUAUAUGAGAAAGAACUACUAGCUGUAGUUUAUAUAGUAAAGAAGUGGGACCACUACAUUGCCUACAGACAUUUCUUGAUCAAAACGGACCACCACUGCUUGAAAUUCCUUUUGGAGCAAAGAAUUACAAUUGCUCAUCAACAAAAUUACAUUGCUAGGCUGUUUGGAUAUGAUUUUGAAAUUUCUUACAAAAAGGGAAGGGACAACACAGCUGCUGAUGCCCUUUCUAGGCUACCAGCAUCCCGAUUAGCUGCUAUAACACUUUCUUCUCCUAUGAGUAAUUUGCUUUCGGAAAUUGAGGCUAGCUGGAAAAAAAGAUUCCAAAAUUCAGGCUAUCAGGCAGCAUUACAAUCUGGUACACUAACUCAAAGUCUUUAUAACUUAAUUAAUGGCUUGUUGAGAAGAAAAGGAAGGUUGAUGGUUGGGCUCGAUUAUCAGCUCAGGCAUAAGAUAUUGCAACCCAUGCAUAGUUCUGCUAUGGGAGGACAUUCAGGUAUGCAAGCUACUGUAGAAAGAGUUAAGCUGUUGUUUUAUUGGAAAGGCAUUGACAGGGAUGUGAGGAAUUAUGUAAGGGGUUGUACCACAUGCCAAACCUAUAAGCCUGAGAAUGUGAAUGUACCUAGACUCUUGCAGCCACUACCUGUACCAGAAGGCAUAUGGAUAGAUAUUAGUAUGGGUUUCAUUAAGGGUUUACCAAAGUCAUAAGGAAGGAUGUCAUCUUGGUGGUAGUUGACAGAUUGAGCAAGUAUGCUCAUUUUCUAGCUUUCUGUCACCCUUAUACUGCUACUACUGUUGUCUAAUUAUUUCUUACCAAUGUAUUUAAGCUUCAUGGUACACCAUCCUCGAUAAUGAGUGACAAGGACCCUAUAUUCAUCAGUUCUUUUUGGGAAGACCUGUUUAAAUUGCAAGGUGUGGGGCUGCUAAAAUCAACUGCCCACCCAUAAACAAAUGGCCAGUCAGAGGUCGUUAACAGAUGUCUUUGUUAACAAAUAAUACUAUGAGUAAAGAGAUAAGAUGAGAAUGAUUUUUGGA